UACAGAGGGGGCAAGCGUUGUUCGGAAUUACUGGGCGUAAAGGGCGCGUAGGCGGCCUGUUAAGUCGAACGUGAAAUCCCCGGGCUCAACCCGGGAACUGCGUCCGAUACUGGCAGGCUUGAAUCCGGGAGAGGGAUGCGGAAUUCCAGGUGUAGCGGUGAAAUGCGUAGAUAUCUGGAGGAACACCGGUGGCGAAGGCGGCAUCCUGGACCGGUAUUGACGCUGAGGCGCGAAAGCCCAGGGGAGGCAAAACGGGG
rnacentral:rRNA from 1 species